rnacentral:rRNA from 1 species
CUACGGGGCGCAGCAGUGGGGAAUAUUGCACAAUGGGGGGAACCCUGAUGCAGCAACGCCGCGUGGAGGAUGACGCAUUUCGGUGUGUAAACUCCUUUUAUAUGUCAAGAAAAUGACGGUAGCAUAUGAAUAAGCACCGGCUAACUCCGUGCCAGCAGCCGCGGUAAUACGGAGGGUGCAAGCGUUACUCGGAAUCACUGGGCGUAAAGGACGCGUAGGCGGGUUGGAAAGUCAGGUGUGAAAUCCUACAGCUUAACUGUAGAACUGCACUUGAAACUUCUAAUCUAGAGUUUGGGAGGGGGAGAUGGAAUUAGUGGUGUAGGGGUAAAAUCCGUAGAUAUCACUAGGAAUACCUAAAGCGAAGGCGAUCUCCUGGAACAUUACUGACGCUAAGGCGUGAAAGCGUGGGGAGCAAACAGGAUUAGAUACCCCGGUAGUC